ACACUCACCGGGCAGGGGAGAUACCAGGUCAGGAAGGCGGUUCUCCCAGGGCGAGGCUUAUCCAUGGCACUCGGAUAUGCUGACCCCUGCGAUUUCCCUAAACGUGGAAAACUCAACUGCAUAAUCUGUGCUGGUGGGGACUGCGUUCGCGCUCUCCCCU